AGACCCUGUCUCAAAAAAAAAAAAAAAAAAAAAAAAAAGUCUGGCAACAUGGUGGGCGGAGAAGCUGGAGUGACUCUGGGGCAGCCACAUCUUUCGCCUCAGGAUCCCACCACGUUGGAUGUUACCAAGUUGAUGCCACUUUCACACGAUGUUAUCAGCAGACAAGCCACAAUUAAUAUACAAUUGAUCAUGUAGCUCAUGGGAAAUCCACAGUCGUCAAAGCUAUUUCUGGACUUCACACCGUCAGGUUCAAAAAUGAACUAGGAAGAAAUAUUACAAUCAAGCUUGGAUAUGCUAAUGCUAAGAUUUAUAAACUUGAUGACCCAAGUUUCCCUCGGCCAGAAUGUUAUAGAUCUUGUGGGAGCAGUACACCUGAUGAGUUUCCCGCAGACAUUGCAGGGACCAAAGGGAACUUCAAAUCAGUCAGACAUUUUUCCUUUGUUGACUGUCCUGGCCACGAUGUUUUGAUGGCUACUAUGCUGAAUGGUGCAGCAGUGAUGGAUGCAGCUCUUUUGUUGAUAGCUGGUAAUGACUCUUGUCCUCAGCCUCAGACGUCUGAACACCUGGCUGCUAUAGAGAUCAUGAAACUGAGCAUAUUUUGAUUCUACAAAAUAAAAUUGAUUUGGUAAAAGAAAGUCAGGCUAAAGAACAAUACAAGCAGAUCCUUGCAUUUGUCUAAGGUACAGUAGCAGAGUUAGCUCCCAUUAUUCCAAUUUUGGCUCAGCUGAAUACAGUAUUGAAGUUGUUUGUGAGUACAUAGUAAAGAAAAUUCCAGUACCCCCAAGAGACUUUACUUCAGAGCCCGGGCUUAUUGUUAUUAGAUCUUUUGAUGUCACCAAACCUGGCUGUGAAGUUGAUGACCUUAACGGAGGUGUAGCUGGUGGUAGUAUCCUAAAAGGAGUAUUAACAGUGGGCCAGGAGAUAGAAGUAAGACCUGGUAUUGUUUCCAAAGAUAGUGAAGGAAAACUAAUGUGUAAACCAAUCUUUUCCAAAAUUGUAUCACUUUUUGCAGAGCAUAAUGAUCUGUAACAUGCUGCUCCAGGCGGUCUUAUUGGAGUUGGAACAAAAAUUGACUCCACUUUGUGCGGGGCUGACAGAAUGGUGGGGCAAGUACUUGGUACAGUCGGAGCUUUACCUGAGAUAUUCACAGAAUUGGAAAUUUCCUAUUUCCUGCUUAGACGGCUUCUAGGUGUACGCACUGAAGGAGACAAGAAAGCAGCAAAGGUUCAAAAGCUGUCUAAGAAUGAAGUGCUCAUGGUGAACAUAGGAUCCCUGUCGACAGGAAGAAGAGUUAGUGCUGUCAAGGCCGAUUUGGGUAAAAUUGUUUUGACCAAUCCAGUGUGCACAGAGGUAGGAGAAAAAAUUGCCCUUAGCCGAAGAGUUGAAAAACACUGGCGUUUAAUUGGUUGGGGUCAGAUAAGAGGAGUGGCAAUCAAGCCAACAGUAGAUGAUGACUGAAGAAUACCGGUUAAAUAAUACAUUUGGAUGGAGUUGGAAGUUGGAAUUUCUCUUAACAACCAAGGGUUUUAUUUUCAAAGCAAUAUUGGGGAAUUGAUUUCACAGUUCGUUUCCUUAGUGGGUAACUGUAAGGUUAUUCUCUCUCUCUUUUUUUUUUUGGUUAUGAAAACUUAGGGACUACAAUCAAUAUAAAAAUUGGUAUAAUGUUGGAUUGAAUCUACAUUUUGGCAGAAGUUAAGCAUUCCCAUGUAAUGUCAAAAUUAUACAUAAUGCAGUUUUGGUUUUUUUGUUUAUUUUGUUUUGUUUUUGAGUCUGGCUCUGUCACCCAGGCUGGAGUGCAGUGGCGUGAUCUGCAACCUCCGCCUCCCGGGUUCAAGUGAUUCUCCUGCCUCAGCCUCCCGAGUAGCUGAGAUUACAGGUGUGCGCCACCACACCUAGCUAAUUUUUGUAUUAUUAGUAGAGACAGGGUUUCGGCAUGUUGGCCAGGCUGGUCUCUCCUGACCUCAGGGUGAUCAGCCCACCUCGGCCUCACAAAGUGCUGGGAUCAGGUAUGAGCCACCUUGCCCAGCCCACAUCAUACAGUUUGAAAUAAAACUUAGCCACAACCAGCCUUGCCGUAGCGCACACAUAUAUCACUGAACCUGCUUGAAAUAAAGUUUUUUUUCUGUUUCAUGAUUUGUCUUUGAGUACCUCCAGGCUGAAGGACUGUUGUACCAGUAAAAACUUAAAGGCACAAAUUCUCCUUGAAGACCUUCUCCCUUUUCUUUGGCCCCAUAUUUUAUGUUGCCUGAAAUCCAACAGUCUUCCUCCAUUGGAAAAUACUGUUAUACCAAAUAAUUCUAGAUGAGUAACAAAGAUCUUUCUAGGCCUUCAUUUUAUGUUUUUUCUUAACUGUUAAGAUUGUGGCAUAGAUUAUUACAUCACUAAUUUUUGGAUGUUUCGAAAGGUCAAGAAGUAAAAGAUGUUAGAAAGCAAAAAAAAAAAAAAAAAAAAAGCUAGGCACCAAACGAGCUGGGC